AUUUUGAUUGACUCUUAAAUCAACAUUGUUUUCCAUUCACUAACAGUACCUGAUGUGCCUAUCUUUUCCAUUUUUCUUUAUUUUUCUUUUUCUCUCAGCUUUAGAAGAUUGAGUUAAUCAUAGCCUUCAGCUAUCAAAAGCAAAUGUCAUCAAGUAUUACAUGAGUUAGCAAAUGGUCAGGGAAAGAGAAACCAAUCUGGAUAUUUCUUACAAGAGAUAUGAUACAGAGACUUGAUUCCAAAGGUGUUGGAAGGACAUCAAAAGCUUAAAGAAGAAGGGAACUAAUAGAAGCAACAGAAGCUGCAAAUAACCCUGUAAUAAGCCCAGAAGCCUAUGCUGCUCUUGUGCUGUUGGAAAUGCAUGUUGGUUUUGAUCAUCAUGUCCAUUCUUCUCUCCCAAAAAAACAACCACUACAAUGUGGCUGAUCUACAUUCUUGAGUAUAUGGGUACCCUUUUAAAAUAUGCAGGGUUGAGUUGUUAAUUUGCAUAUAUUAAAAUUGCAUUUUAGGUAUGUUCUUUCUUCAUAUUUUUCAGCAUUCAUUUUUAUAACUUCACUACUUGUUUGAUGUACAUCUAAUUCAUUUCUAACUAAUUCAUAGGUUUCCAUGUUGUAUAACUGUAUAUUUUAUUUAUCUACCUCUUUAGUCAUGUAUAACUAGGUCACUUCCAAUGUCCUGCUGGCUCAAAAAAUACUAUGAUAAAUAUUUUCAUAUAUACUUCCACUGGGAUGAGUAUCAAGCCAAGGGAUCCCUGAACAUAACUUACUUAGCGAAGAACUUCCAGAGUACAUUCCAAACUACUGUGUUGAAAACAGACAGUAGAUGGACAAAUGUGGAUGCAGGGAGGCUGGUCAAGAAACUAUGGCAG
rnacentral:lncRNA from 1 species